CAGCAGCCGCGGGAAUACGUAGGGUGCAAGCGUUAAUCGGAAUUACUGGGCGUAAAGCGUGCGCAGGCGGUUCGCUAAGACAGAUGUGAAAUCCCCGGGCUUAACCUGGGAACUGCAUUUGUGACUGGCGGGCUAGAGUAUGGCAGAGGGGGGUAGAAUUCCACGUGUAGCAGUGAAAUGCGUAGAGAUGUGGAGGAAUACCGAUGGCGAAGGCAGCCCCCUGGGCCAAUACUGACGCUCAUGCACGAAAGCGUGGGGAGCAAACAGGAUUAGAUACCCGAGUAGUCCCUGUCUCUUAUAC
rnacentral:rRNA from 1 species